GGGCUCUUGGCGCAGCUGGUAGCGCGUUCGCUUCGCAUCUACGUUGAUGUGCGAAAGGUCGUUGGUUCGAUUCCUACAGUGUCCA